GUCAGGUGGUUUGGUGUAGAGAGGGUGAUUACAAUGUUUUGGUGAUGGACCCACUGAGGCCAAGCCUUGAGCAUCUUUUCGUUUAGUUUUAUCUUUGUUUGCUGAGAUAAGCGAGAUCGUACUCAUUCCAAUUCCGGAUAAUUUGUCUGCAUAGCCUUCGAAUGGCACAUACUGACCUCAGACUGGAGAAUGUUCAUGUAAGACCAGUAGACAAACGUUGUCAAAACAUGGUUGUCACACAUGCGUCCUGUUCCAAUGG